GACGAACGCUGGCGGCGUGCUUAACACAUGCAAGUCGAGCGGUCAGACGAGGUGCUUCCUCCUCUGACGUUAGCGGCGGACGGGUGAGUAACACGUGGUUAACCUACCUAUAAGACUGGGAUAACUUCUGGAAACCGGAGCUAAUACCGGCUAAUAUAUUCAACCGCAUGGUUCAAUAGUGAAAGACGGUUUUGCUGUCACUUAUAGAUGGUUCCGCGCCGCAUUAGCUAGUUGGUUAGGUAACGGCUUACCAAGGCGACGAGUCGUAGCCGACCGGGGAGGGUGAUCGGCGGCCCGGGAGCGGGAACGGGGUCCAGGCGCCUACGAGAGGCAGCAGUAGGGAAUCGGCCGCAGUAGGCGAGAGCCUGACGGAGCGGCGGCGCGUGAGUGGUGGAGGUGUUCGGAGCGUGAAACUGUGUUAUUAGGGGAGAACAAAUGUGUAAGUGGCUGUACACAUCUUGACGGUACCUGAUCAGAAAGCCACGGCUAACUACGUG
rnacentral:rRNA from 1 species